UGGGCUGUCGUUCAAUGGUAGGACGGCGGAUUCUGGCUCCGCUAAUCUAGGUUCGAGUCCUGGCAGCCCAGCCA
rnacentral:tRNA from 1 species